rnacentral:rRNA from 1 species
AGAGUUUGAUCCUGGCUCAGAUUGAACGCUGGCGGCAGGCUUAACACAUGCAAGUCGAGCGGAGAGAGGUAGCUUGCUACUGAUCUUAGCGGCGGACGGGUGAGUAAUGCUUAGGAAUCUGCCUAUUAGUGGGGGACAACAUUUCGAAAGGAAUGCUAAUACCGCAUACGUCCUACGGGAGAAAGCAGGGGAUCUUCGGACCUUGCGCUAAUAGAUGAGCCUAAGUCGGAUUAGCUAGUUGGUGGGGUAAAGGCCUACCAAGGCGACGAUCUGUAGCGGGUCUGAGAGGAUGAUCCGCCACACUGGGACUGAGACACGGCCCAGACUCCUACGGGAGGCAGCAGUGGGGAAUAUUGGACAAUGGGCGCAAGCCUGAUCCAGCCAUGCCGCGUGUGUGAAGAAGGCCUUAUGGUUGUAAAGCACUUUAAGCGAGGAGGAGGCUACUUUAGUUAAUACCUAGAGAUAGUGGACGUUACUCGCAGAAUAAG